UGCGUCCAGAGCCUUCAUAACAGGAGCUGGAAAACCCCGCCCCACCCUUUUACUUUCUAGCUGUCCUGGAUCUUCCUGGAAACCGCGGCUCCUGCUGCAGCUUCGCACCACGUGGGCCCUUGCGGAAUGAACGGACGUGGACAACAAUCUAGAAGUCCUCAUGCUACUCUGCUGAAAUGGCUUUUUUGGGAAAUGUGAACUUAUGAUAUGAUAGUCCUACUGACCAGACUUGAGCUCCACUGAACCUUUGUGAGGUGAACUGGGACAACAUCUGGAGCUGAGAGACCAGUGAACAGAGAAGAGGAACAGGACUGAAUCCCACAUGACAAGGAUCUGCAAUUUGAAAGCAAAUUGACAUUGCCCAGGCAAAGGAUGAUUAGACACCUAUCUUGUUCACCUUUCUGUCAGCCCCCUGCCCAUGACAUGGCUCAUUGGACAUACUUAGUAAAAUCCCAUUAAAGGGCAUGGAAUAAAUAUAAUAUGAAUUU